rnacentral:rRNA from 1 species
GACGAACGCUGGCGGCGUGCUUAACACAUGCAAGUCGAACGGAAAGGCCCUGCUUUUGUGGGGUGCUCGAGUGGCGAACGGGUGAGUAACACGUGAGUAACCUGCCCUUGACUUUGGGAUAACUUCAGGAAACUGGGGCUAAUACCGGAUAGGAGCUCCUGCUGCAUGGUGGGGGUUGGAAAGAUUCGGCGGUUGGGGAUGGACUCGCGGCUUAUCAGCUUGUUUGUGAGGUAGUGGCUUACCAAGGCUUUGACGGGUAGCCGGCCUGAGAGGGUGACCGGCCACAUUGGGACUGAGAUACGGCCCAGAAUCCUACGGGCGGCAGCAGUGGGGAAUAUUGCACAAUGGGGGGAAGCCUGAUGCAGCGACGCCGCGUGCGGGAUGACGGCCUUCGAGUUGUAAACCGCUUUCGACUGUGCCGAAGAGUGCGUGACGGUAAUGGGUAAAGAAGCCACGGCUAACUACGUG